rnacentral:rRNA from 1 species
UACGUAGGGCGCAAGCGUUGUCCGGAAUUAUUGGGCGUAAAGAGCUCGUAGGCGGUUUGUCGCGUCUGCUGUGAAAACUCGAGGCUCAACCUCGGGCUUGCAGUGGGUACGGGCAGACUAGAGUGCGGUAGGGGUGACUGGAAUUCCCGGUGUAGCGGUGGAAUGCGCAGAUAUCAGGAGGAACACCGAUGGCGAAGGCAGGUCACUGGGCCGCAACUGACGCUGAGGAGCGAAAGCAUGGGGAGCGAACAGG